CGCAACUUGCGCCUCUUGGUAUUCCGAGAGGCAUGCCUGUCUGAGUGUCAUGUAGCCUCAACCCCCGGGUUUCUUUUGGACCCGGGAGCGUUGGACGUGGGCGUCUGCCGUCAGCCUCGGCUCGCCUCAAACGCGUCAGUGGGACCGGAUCCCGAGUGUGAGCGUAAUAAGUUUCGCUCCCUCGUGCGUCUGGGCCCGCUCACAACCCCCAUAUAUCUUGACAUUUGACCUCAGAUCAGGUAGGGCUACCCGCUGAACUUAA
rnacentral:misc_RNA from 1 species